GAAAGAAAGAAAGGAAGAAAAAGAAAAAAAUAUUAAGAGGGUUGUUAUUUGUGAAAUUGUGUUUCCCAGCCAUGAGGGUGAGUCACACCAUUUGGGGCUUCAAGUUUCUUGUUUGGAUGAACUUUUCUCUGGGAGGCUGGGGCGGAUUUGGAGGGGGAGGGGGCCUUCUGGUGUGGGGAAAGUCUUCGAGUCAAGAUAAGGGGAGACCCUGGUGGUUGGGAAGUCCAGGUGCUCCAAGGCUGGGUGGGGCUGGGCUGGUUGUACCUGAAUUGCCUGGGGGAGCUUGAAAAAUACAGAUUGGGCUGCAGUAGGCGGGGGCGUUGUUGUUUCACGGGCAUGGAGUUUCAGUUUGAGAAGAUGAAAAAGUUCUGGAGCUGGACGGUGGCGAUGGCUGCACAACAGCAUGAAUGCUCUUAAUGCCACUCAACUGUACACUUAAAAAUCAUUGAAAUGGUCAAUUUUGUUGUGUAUAUUUUGCCGCACACCUAAAAAUACAGAUUUCGGGCCCUCGAUUCCAGGUGGCUGCUUUGGUAGGUCUGAGGUGGGGCCCAGAAAACUGUUUGUUAUAAGCUUCCCAGGUCAUUCAAUACAGGUUGGGGCACACUCAUGUAAUCUGUAAAAUGGGAUAGUGACUCAUAGAGUUGUGGGCAGAAUCAGCUAUCUGAAUACGUGUAAAAUUUCCAGUGCUGGGGUCACAGUAAGAGCUUGGUCUGUGUCACUGUUAUCCUGUGAUGUGGUUUUUAUCAGAACUCUCCCCCAUGCCGUGGAAGGUUGACCCCCAUUGGCUCCCACAGCUCCAGGGACGGGGGACCCUCUGCUUCUCAAGGUGGACUGCUCCAUCUUGGAUUCAUCUGAGAGCUGGAGUGCCCAUCAGGCUGAACGCAGGUCAAUGUGGAAUCUUCCACUGGUCCUGGAUUUGGUGGUCGGGCCAGGCAGUGAUACAGAAGUUACAGUCAGUUGGACCCAUUGAAAUCCUUCCCAGUCACUAUAGGUGACUGUGUGCUGGGCUGGCCUGCCCCCGAUGUGGUGUCUGUGUCUUUCCUUCCGCAUCCCAGGCUCUGAUCCAGAUGCACACGAGACGGAACAGAGUCCCAGAAGGAAAGGGCUGUGGUCACACAGCCGUGUGUCCUGAGGCACCAAGAACAUCAGUGGCACCCAGAUGAUGAGGACCAUGUCUCUAGGAGGGGAGUGGCAGAUGCCUGCAGAUGGAUACAGUUGGGUGGCUGGGACACAUACUUGUGCAAAGUAGGAUCUGCUUCAGUUGGGGGAGGCAAGACUGUGCCCUGUGCCCUGGGGCCAGCUUGCAGCUCGCCUCCCUCCCCUGCCUAUGCUAAGGGAACACAGAAAGGACUGUCCCCAACCUGGGCUUCUGUCUGCCCCAUCUUUGUAAGGGAGCCUGAGGCCCUUCCUUUCAGAGGCCCUGUUUCCCCUUCAGCCUGGAACUCCCCAAAACAAAUCCUUGUCUCCCCAUCAGACACAAGGCCCCCCAAGGUCCGCAGCUUAUUCCUGCAGUUCUUGGGCACCUGUGCUGGGGCCAGGAGAUACUUAAGCCCCAAGCCCAGAUUUGUUGUUGACCCUCCUGGGGAGGCCGCCUCUUUCAGCCUUGGCCUUGCUCCAGGAAAGGGGGACCCCUGGCUGCUCCCUGCCAGCCCCACCUUCGCUAAAUUCCAGUAUGCAAGGCAGCCCGGAGCCCGUGACUCCUAUAAAUAGAGGCUGUAUAUACCAGGAGGGGGCCUGGGCCACGUCUGCUUUGAAGCUAAGCAAGAUGUCUGGUUCCUGUCAUCUGGAGGUGAGAGAGAUGGACCACUUCCCUCCUUGGGCUUCCAGAGAGGUGGUUUAGGGCCAGGCUGAGGGCUCCCCACACACAGACUACACAAGCCUCGGGCUGCAGGAAACCUGGCAAAGGGCUGGGCUUCAGUCUUGUCUAGUGUGAAGCGGGAGCAAUGCCGCAAGCUGACAUUCCCUUUCCUUACAAGGUGGGGAAACUGAGUCAGCAGUGACUUUCCUAAAGUCACCCCACCAGUUAGUGGCAGAGCCCCAAAUCUGACAGGUUGCUUUCUACUAUAUGUUCUUACCUCAUGGCAGUAUGUUAAGAACUAAUGGUAAUAAUAAUAAUAGCCAUCAUCAACAUCAUUGCCAUUUACUGAGUGGUUCUGAAGUGCCAGGCAUGAGAUAAACUACUUUCCAUUCAUGACCUCAUUUUAGCCUCAUAGAAACCCUAGGAGGAGCUGUUACUAGGACCAUUUUGCAGAUAGGGCCACUGAGGCCCAGAGUAGUUAACUGGCUUGUCCAUGGAGACACACUAGUUAGGAUUUGAACUCAGGCUUCUGGAGCCCAGAGCCCUCGGGUAGCUGAAGACUCAGUGUGAAUCCAUGCGUGUGUUUGGGUGGGGGGUUAUGGAACUUCUCCCAAGGCAGAGGCUGUAGUAUAUGUGCCUCUGUCUCCCACAGGCGCUGAGCAACAGUGUGUACAAGGGCGCCUCACCCUAUGGCUCCCUCAACAACAUCGCCGAUGGCCUCAGCUCCCUCACCGAGCACUUCUCAGACCUGACCCUCACCUCCGAGGCUCGCAAGCCCAGCAAGCGGCCCCCACCCAACUACCUGUGCCACCUGUGCUUCAACAAAGGAC
rnacentral:lncRNA from 1 species